GGGGAAUUUUGGACAAUGGGGGCAACCCUGAUCCAGCCAUGCCGCGUGAGUGAAGAAGGCCUUCGGGUUGUAAAGCUCUUCCGGCCGGGAAGAAACGGUGCAGGCAAUUCCCCUGAAUGGUUAACGGUACCGGAUUAAGAGCAACCGGCUAACACCGUGCCAGCAGCCGCGGUAAUACGUAGGGUGCGAGCGUUAAUCGGAAUUACUGGGCCGUAAAGCGUGCGCAGGCGGUUUUGUAAGACAGGCGUGAAAUCCCCGGGCUCAACCUGGGAACUGCGCUUGUGACUGCAAGACUAGAGUACGGCAGAGGGGGGUGGAAUUCCACGUGUAGCAGUGAAAUGCGUAGAGAUGUGGAGGAACACCAAUGGCGAAGGCAGCCCCCUGGGUCGAUACUGACGCUCAUGCACGAAAGCGUGGGGAGCAAACA
rnacentral:rRNA from 1 species